rnacentral:rRNA from 1 species
AUUGAACGCUGGCGGCAUGCCUUACACAUGCAAGUCGAACGGCAGCACGGGAGCAAUCCUGGUGGCGAGUGGCGAACGGGUGAGUAAUAUAUCGGAACGUGCCCGGUCGUGGGGGAUAACGUAGCGAAAGCUACGCUAAUACCGCAUACGAUCUACGGAUGAAAGCGGGGGAUCGCAAGACCUCGCGCGAUUGGAGCGGCCGAUAUCAGAUUAGGUAGUUGGUGAGGUAAAGGCUCACCAAGCCGACGAUCUGUAGCUGGUCUGAGAGGACGACCAGCCACACUGGGACUGAGACACGGCCCAGACUCCUACGGGAGGCAGCAGUGGGGAAUUUUGGGACAAUGGGCGCAAGCCUGAUCCAGCAAUGCCGCGUGCAGGAUGAAGGCCUUCGGGUU